CCCUUAGAUGUUCUGGGCCGCACUCGUGCUACACUGAGUGGAUCAGCGGGUCAGGUUGCGCGAAAGUGUUUCCUAAUCUUUAAAUCCGCUCGUGAUGGGGAUUGACGGUUGCAAUUUUCCGUCAUGAACGAGGAAUACCUUGUAAGCGCGGGUCAUCAUCCCGCGCUGAAUACGUCCCUGCCCUUUGUACACACCGCCCGUCGCUCCUACCGAUUGAGUGGUCCGGUGAGGCUUUGGGAUCUGAGCGGAAAGAGCGUUUCGCUGUUUCUGCCCGGAAAACUCAGUCGAACCUUAUCAUUUAGAGGAAGGAGAAGUCGUAACA
rnacentral:rRNA from 1 species